CAGCAUGGGGCCUCAGCUUCUCUGUGACCUCCCGGUUUCCCAGGGGCUCAGCCAGCCAAGAAAGCAGGAGAAGCGACCUUCCUGACACAGAGCAGGGCUGGAGGGAACCGGGUCAGAUGCAUUGCUGACCCCGCUCAGGGGGUGUGACACUGUCCAGGCUUGGAGAAUUUCCCACAGCAAAUACAACCGCUCUGUUAGAGGAAUGGUCUGGGAGGACCGGGCCAGGAUCUGAGACUCAAUUUGAGAAUGAUCAAUACUCCCUUUGUGACAGAGUUGUAAACUUCUCCUGAAUCAUGGCCCCCUGUUCAUGACCUCUUGGCAUGUCUCCCAGCUUUUACCCUGAAACUGGUUUCAUUUGUCGCUCAUUUUCCAGCCCCCAGCACCGCUUCUCCAGCAGACACAGGUGCCAAGCUCUGCAGCUUUAGGAGCAGCAUGGCCAGGCUGGGCCUGUGUUCAAAGGGGUACUGUAGGGGCACUAGCCUAACUAGCCUACAUGCCCUAUAACAAUCAUGUUCCCUUCUGGCCCCUUUCCGGACAAGACGCCAACAAUCUGGGAUUUAUAAUGAUCCAGGGCCUGGCCAACCCGGAUCUUAAUUUAUCUCACUCAAAGAACAUCACAUCUUAAAGGAACACAGAGCCCCUCCACAUGAGCUGCUGUUCCUGGGAACGUUGGCUGUCCCAAGGACAGUUCCUCUUCGUCCCCUGCCUACAUAAGCAACCCCCUCUCUGCCUACGGUCUCCAGUGCACAACUCCGUCCAGCCAGCUGUUCCUGGAUGCUCCCCAUGGCCCAGCACAGUGACUCAGGGCUGUGUUUCGCUGGCUGCAGUUGCUCUGACUUUGGAAAUGCUCUCACCCUGCAAGUCACUCCCUCUGCCUUUCUCCAGGGGAGUAUGAAGAUCUGACUGGCUCAGCCCUUUGUAAAAUGCCUGGGUCACGGAGGAACCAAUUCCUGAGGUUUGUGAGAACUAAAGGGGGGAAGAUGUGGUUUCCCAAAGCAAAAUCGGCCUUUUGGUUUUGGAAGCAGAGGGAAUGAGCAACAGUCAACACAGAAGAUGUGCACCUACAGGCCCCUGUGCCCACAGUGAGUGCAGCCACUUCCAUUUGACUGCAGACAGACCGACUGCACGUCUGUGAGGAGACAUGGGCCUGCCCCUUGGUGUCCGUGACGAUGGCCCCUAGAAAGCAGCUCUGAACUCUGGUCCUGCCUGGCCUGGGUGUGGCCUGUGCAGUGAGAUGUGUGACGUGGAAGUGUCCCCACGCUGGGCGAUCGCUUUGUAAAAUCACAGAUGAUGAAUUAAGACACCAACAUGCCUGGAGCUGCCCUGGGGAUACAGAGGAAUCGAAGAUGAAAACCAUCCAAGUCAGGCCGAGAAAUUAAUCUGUACUUGUCACCAGCACGGUUAGAGGGACUCAUGAAAGCUGAAUAGGAAUCAAAGAGUGACCUGCCAGGAGGGGAUCAGGAGCCUAACGCAGAGGGCGGCAGGUGCACGGGGUCGGGCUGCACUAAAUGACAGGACCUGUGACUUAGAACUGCAGGGGCAGGGAUCCAGGUCCAGGGACCGUGGACAGCCGUGUCGGGGGCUCUCCCGGCUGAUCAGACUGCAGCCUCUCCUUUUUCUCCAAGUUGUGACAACUGUUUUAUGAGCUGUGGCACAUUAAGAAGUUCCCCGCAGCUGUAUACAAUGUGUUUGCCUGUCUCCCCGUUAUUGGUCAACAAGAUGUUGCCAUCAAUGUAGUUGCCUCCUCCCAAGCAACUGCCUCUUGGCAUGGAUUCCUUGGAACUGAGCCGUCUUUGCCCUGCAGCAUUUUGGGCUUAAAAUAUCUGUAGUCAUCAGUUUUAGAGUUUGACUUCCUCUCCAUGAGAUUGUCUAAAAUACGAGUAACAGGUGGAUUUUGCCGUUUCAGUACCAGGUUCUUCCCUCCUUCCACCACAAACCGGGAUCCUGUAUUCAGGCCUCAUGGUAAGAGAGCCAGCAUUUAGUGGUGGUGUUGCCAUAGCUGCAGGAGCUGAGGCCAUCUGGGCAAAAGCCUUCCGCUGUUUGAUAUAUUGUAAGGGAUUUAGGUUGCGUCCUGUGUCAGCUAAAGCCUUUUUGUAUUACUCUAAGUCAGCCUCAGAAGGUGCUUGCUCAUAUAACAGAUAAGAAACAGCUUCUGUUGUCUUCUGGAGUUCCUGCACCAGGGUCUGACAUUAUACCCAAAAGAGAUUUGUCCAGAGGAGUUUUGCUCAUUAUUUCUUAUUCAUCUUCAAAAUGUGCAUCCAGUUUUCUCACCUUUCUCUGUUCUAAGACAGCACCGGCAACGCUUGUCUGGAGAGCAAUGUCUUUUUUUCCCACGGAGUUCUGGCAAGGAAUCGCAGCUGAUGUUAGCUUAGGAGUCUCGUCAGAAAGCGAACUCAGGGCUCCUUCAUCUCCCCCCUCUAGUGCCACAAUGCAUUUAAGUCAUUUGACCUCAUCCUCCUGUGCUCUGGAAGAUUCCAGUUCCUGCUGAACUGAUUCUGCAACUUAUGGGAAUGGACUUCCCUUAUGUUUCUGCCAAAAUUUCUCAACUUCAGUUAAAUCGUAAGACUUCUUGUUUUUUCUUCGUGGUCCAGCAUCAUAGAGAAUCUUCCACUCCUGAAGUUUCUUCCAAAUUAAGUCUAAGUGGAAUCCAGUGCACCAUGCGCCAAGGCCCAGCUGGACGCGGUACAGGAGUUGCCGAUCCCUGUUUCCGUCCACGGGAUGAACAAAGGCCCGUGGGGUGGGCUCAGCCAGCUCCAAGUGCCUCCUGGG
ensembl:lncRNA